CCUACGGGAGGCUGCAGUGAGGAAUAUUGGUCAAUGGACGAGAGUCUGAACCAGCCAAGUAGCGUGAAGGAUGACUGCCCUAUGGGUUGUAAACUUCUUUUAUAUGGGAAUAAAAUGUUCCACGUGUGGGAUUUUGUAUGUACCAUAUGAAUAAGGAUCGGCUAACUCCGUGCCAGCAGCCGCGGUAAUACGGAGGAACCGAGCGUUAUCCGGAUUUAUUGGGUUUAAAGGGAGCGUAGGCGGAUUGUUAAGUCAGUUGUGAAAGUUUGCGGCUCAACCGUAAAAUUGCAGUUGAAACUGGCAGUCUUGAGUACAGUAGAGGUGGGCGGAAGGCGUGGUGUAGCGGUGAAAUGCUUAGAUAUCACGAAGAACUCCGAUUGCGAAGGCAGUUCACUGGACUGCAACUGACACUGAGGCUCGAAAGUGUGGGUAUCAAACAGGAUUAGAUACCCUGGUAGUC
rnacentral:rRNA from 1 species